rnacentral:rRNA from 1 species
CCUACGGGCGACAGCAGUGAGGAAUAUUGGUCAAUGGACGAGAGUCUGAACCAGCCAAGUAGCGUGAAGGAUGACUGCUCUAUGGGUUGUAAACUUCUUUUAUAAAGGAAUAAAACGAGGCACGUGUGCCUUUUUGUAUGUACUUUAUGAAUAAGGAUCGGCUAACUCCGUGCCAGCAGCCGCGGUAAUACGGAGGAUCCGAGCGUUAUCCGGAUUUAUUGUGUUUAAAGGGAGCGUAGAUGGGUUGUUAAGUCAGUUGUGAAAGUUUGCGGCUCAACCGUAAAAUUGCAAUUGAUACUGGCAGUCUUGAGUACAGUUGAGGUAGGCGGAAUGCGUGGUGUAGCGGUGAAAUGCUUAGAUAGCACGAAGAACCCCGAUUGCGAAGGCAGCUUACUAAACUGUGACUGACAUUGAUGCUCGAAAGUGUGGGUAUCAAACAGGAUUAGAUACCCGAGUAGUC